CUUUUUAGAGAAGGUCCUUGUAAUAGCUUUAAACUGGGAAGAACCUAAAGAUCGAGGGGAACCUGAGUGACUCAUGUGUUCCCACACAGUAGAACGGUCUGCUUCAACAACUGUGUGUCAUUAUGCCCAAGUAACGGUACUUUGAAAACAAUCGGGUGUUCUUUUACACAAAUGUCCUUUCACCGACAGGUAGUGGUAGAGAAGCUCAAAGGACAGCUACAGAAAGUGUGUGGGCCAAUAGGAUGAAGGUGGCCCGGAAGGGGGGGAUUGGUAUAGAUUUUGGGAGGGUAGGGGCUCCAGGUGAUAGGAAGCACUGUAGGAGGCUUGGUGGUUCAGGGUAGUGCAGAGGUGGUUAUGGGGCAGUACUGUUGGGGAGAGUUAGUGAGACCAAAGCAGGAGAGUGGUCAGGUUGGCUCCUUAGUUGGAAGGGUUUGGGUAGAGAUGGAACAUGGUGAUUUCUCCCCAUGUACUUUGCAUUGGUGGGGAAAACUGUUGGAAUGAAAGACUACGAGGGUCAGCCAACCACACUGUGUAUCAUGCCUAGCUAGCCUCUGCAUGUAAGAAAAAUAUUUACCUGCACUAUGAUAAGUCACAGUUUCUGAAUUCAAGUAUAACCAGUUGGAGAAUGGAAGCUUUAAAAAGUCUCCUGAGGCUAGGCACUGACCCACGACAUAGAGUAAAGAUGAGCCUGAAGGCAGUCAGGAAGGUACCAGGCAAUCGCAACCACAGUGUAACUCAGGCCUGUACAGCUAGCUCCUGACAGCUCCUGCUGAAGGGAUGGCCAGUGACGGCCAUGGCAGUUCCUCAUGGUCAGGAGGAUCACGGGGUCUUACCACAUGCAAACUAUACAUAUGACAUCCGAUUCGCAACAUGUGCUGUGGUUGUCCUUGGUGUUUAAAUGUUCCUAAGCCAGCAGUUCUCAAACAAGUAUGUAUAGAAAGAGUCUAAAGAACAAAUUGUUAUUAAAAGAAUCUAUGGCUGGUUCCCAAGCCAGGCCCAAGGGCAUCAGUAACAGAGGCAGACAAUUGUUCAGAUGCACAUUAUAUUCAAGAGAGGGUGUCUUAACUUGUUUUCACUGAUUAGAAAGGCAAAACAAGUCCAACAGACCCAGGAUUUGUAAGUUCGCCCCCAUCUCGGCUCAACGCUGUGAGUGUACUGGGCCAGCACCCUGGAAGGCCGAAUAACGCUGAUCUCAGCACUGCUGGAUUGGCAAUCAGCACUCUUGGAGAGAAAGAUAACUGUCAUGUUUACUUGAAUGCCAGACUCUCACAGUACCUGGAAAUGAAUCAGUCUGUCAAACCAACCACUACGGUUACCACAAGAAUGGUGCAUGCUGUUGCUAGGAAAUUGCACUGGUUGCGGAUUGGUAUCUGGGCCACCACAGCAUGUAGAGUCCAGAUCACAAUCCACCCCCAUACCUUGAUCUGAGCAGUACUGCGUUCGCUGAAGACGGUACUCCCUUUUCUGUUAGAAGACUUGGUGUUUGAGGAUGAAAAGAUGUUGGUGAAUUCUUAACUCAAUGUUUCUUUCUGUCCUUUAGAGAAUUGAGAGCAAAACAGACUGUCAAGAUAGGAAGAAGAGGGGUUGGGGAUUUAGCUCAGUGGUAGAGCACUUGCCUAGCAAGCACAAGGCCCUGGGUUUGGUCCCCAGCUCUGAAAAAAAGAAAAGGAAAAAAAAAAAGAUAGCAAGAAGAGAGCUGCUGGAAGCCCAGAUCCUUCAGCCUAUUCUUCUGUGAACCUAUAAACAACAGUAGUCAGGCUGCCCACAGCAAUACCUCUCUGGGUUGUUUCUCAGGCUUAGAGCGUCCUCUUUCACACAUCCACUCACGGGGUCUUACCACAUGCAAACUAUACGUAUGACAUCCGAUUCGCAACAUGUGCUGUGGUUGUCCUUGGUUUUUAAAUGUUCCUAAGCCAGCAGUUCUCAAACAAGUAUGUAUAGAAAGAGUCUAAAGAACAAAUUGUUAUUAAAAGAAUCUAUGAAAAACUGCCCCAUGUUAUCUUUUGGAGAGAAACCUUGGGGUUUUUUCAAUGAGAGUACCGUUAAAAGUCACAGCACUUUGCCCGCUGUCAGCCACCUUGAGUAAAGUGUCAUUGUUUACCACACUCUGCCUGCCUCUUCUUGGCCUUCCCCUCUCCAGGUACUGGGGUCCUUCCUGGGACACAGUGUGGCCCCUACAGUGUGUGCCAGUGAAAAUAUCAAAGUGCUUUAACACCCCAAAGAUUCUUCCUCAUCACCAAGUCUCCUCGAAGUUUAUUAUAUCUUCAAAACAUGAAGGGAAAGUUUCUCAGAUUGCAUUUUCUUCUGGUCUUCUCUUUAAAAAUCGUCUCACAGACACCCAGAGAACAUUUUUCUUAGGCUGCCCACUCUGUGAGAUGUCAGGGAAGGCUCAAUUGCUGUCAAAAGAUUCAAAAGUCAAGGCUUAAGAGAUGGCUUCGGGGUUGGGGAUUUAGCUCAGUGGUAGAGCGCUUGCCUAGCAAGCGCAAGGCCCUGGGUUCAGUCCCCAGCUCUGAAAAAAAAAAAAAAAAAAAAAAAAAAAAAGAGAUGACUUCACCAUGAAGCAAGAGGACGAGAGUUUGGAUCUCCAAAUCCCUUAUAAAUGCCAGGUAGGUAUGGGACCUACUUACUGUAACUUCAGCCUCCAGGGGAGAGAGCGAAGCCCCAGAGCGACUGGCUAGUGAGACUAACCGGCUCCAAGUUUGAGAGACUCUGCCUUAAGGAGAAGAUGGAAUAGCAGCUGAAGAAGAUUCAUGACAUCAGGCUUGGGCCUGCACACACAUGUGCCCACACACGUGACUACACAUAUGUACCUGCUCCACACAUGUGAAAAAGUAGGAUAAAAGCCUUACAAUUUAUCUGAAGACACAGAAAAGGUAAGAGUCACCACUGAGCAUGGAGUCAGGACUCAUGCAAGCCUAUCAUGACAGAGUCUCAGGCGCCAGGCUUGAUGGUCACCACACCACAUGUCUGCUGACUUGUAACCAUCAAGCUGGUCCCAAGCCUUGGGUAGUCGUGGUCACAAGACGACAGAUAAAGGGAAGUGUGACAGACUUUGCAAAUCUAUGACUAAAUCUGAGAUUUGAAAGCUAUCAAGAGAAGGAAGCAUAGUCUGUUGUGAUGGCACAAAGAGAUGGAUGGGCCACCAGCUGGGCAGUGGGAUGGGCCGCCGCUCUGUGAGUGUGGUGAGGAUCCCCGUGGAACCUGUUCCCAGGGGCAGACCCUGGCUGACAUCGAAGCCAUCAGCCGAGAGCUUCUCAUCCCCCACAUCAAGUGUAAGAACAAAGAGAGGAAGCGCAUUCACUGUGUCUGAAAACGUCAAGAAUCUAAAAACAUAAUAAGGCGGACACCGAAAUCAACGUACAACUAAUGUGGGCCGAAUCAAACAGUGCCUUUGUUGGAUCUAAAGUGCACGAUUCAGUUGUGGAAGAAGCAGAGAAGACUCUGCAACUAAGCCAUCUCUGCUGCCCUCCCGCAUGACAUUUAAACAGCUAACAGCUCUGAAAGAGCAGGACAUUAGCGUUUAUUUGAUAGGAAGCCCACCAAGCCUGCUGAGCCCAUCCCAGCAGGCACAGCUGACGGGCACAGCCACAUCUUCUAUGUCCUGAUGAGGUUUGUUCUGCUGCUGUGUAUUUUAAUGCUACAUUCUAUACCGGAAGUGCAAGUGGAUGGGCCACCAGCUGGGUAGUGGGAUGGACCACCGAAUUUUUGUUGUGUAAACCUCGUUCCUUAAUUUAAAGCUAUUGGUUAAAUAAACAUGGUUACAGUCAAUUAAUGGAGGGAUUAGAGGUGGGUGGGUUUUUGAGUUACCUGGUUGGGUGUGACAGGAAGGAGGAGGAGGAGGAAGAGGAGGGGGAGGGGGAGAGGACAGGGGGAGGGGAGGAGAGGGAGAGGGAGGGGAGAAGGCACCAUGAGAGGAGAGGAACCAUGAGUACACGGCCAGGAGAAACAGCAAGUAUCUGGAGUACACUGCUGGGGACGUAGCCAGGCCAGCAGUUAAAAAAAGGUAGAUUAGGGAUUACUCCCCAGUAAUUGUCAAAGCCAAGAAAAAUAACCAUAGUCUGACUCUCAUUCACUUGUAAGCUAGGCAGGCAUGUGCUUAAAUUGGUUGCACUACAUUGUCUCCCUGCACUUCGGCCACUCAGCCUCCACACUUAACACCAGCUCCUCAGAGGCAGUGCUCGGACUCACCAGUAACGCUGUGCUCACAGAUCGGAAGAGUCUACUCCUCAGUCUCUGGAACCUGUGAGCACAUCAGUUUACCUGGCAAAGCCUGCGUGAAUAUCCGAAUGGGACAGAUAGAACUGAGGGUACUUGGCCCUCAAGAUUCUCUCGCCUGAGACGGAAGAGAGGGAAGCUUGGGGUAGGAAGCAUCUGUGCUGCUUAUGUUGAAGGCAGAAGUAAAGCCACAAGCCAAGCGGGUUUCCUGGAGAGGCUAGCAAGGGCCCUCCCUCUCCCACAGCUGUUGUGAAAAUAGGAGUCCGGGUCCUGCCACAGGAACUGAGGCCUGCCCACAACAGAAUGGGUCAGAGGCGCAGAUCCUGCAUUAGAAGCCCAGAAGAGAAUAUGCCCAUCUGCCCCACAACUGAGGCAUCUCCACCAGAAAUCCAUUCACAUGAGAAGGACACGUGCUCAACUCUGUGCAGCCCUGGCUUAACUUCAUACGAUAACUCCAUCCAAGACAUCGUCAGCGUCACCCCAUAAUCUCACAUAUCAAAAGAAGAGGUAGGGGGAGGUGUCUCAACAGUAUUUUAGGAGGUACAUUGAGGGACACCAAAUGGCACAUAUGACUAAUGUCCAGAUACUUAAGCAUGCAUCCUUGGCUGUCUUACUCUCUGUGAUCCAUAGAGAAUCUCCCACCCAGGCCUCCCAUGUAUCUUACUUCCUAAGAUAACUUUAAUAAAAUCUCCAUAUCUGUGUCA